AGUGAACGCUGGCGGCAGGCCUAACACAUGCAAGUCGAACGGCAGCACAGUAAGAGCUUGCUCUUACGGGUGGCGAGUGGCGGACGGGUGAGGAAUACAUCGGAAUCUACUUUUUCGUGGGGGAUAACGUAGGGAAACUUACGCUAAUACCGCAUACGACCUACGGGUGAAAGCAGGGGAUCUUCGGACCUUGCGCGAUUGAAUGAGCCGAUGUCGGAUUAGCUAGUUGGCGGGGUAAAGGCCCACCAAGGCGACGAUCCGUAGCUGGUCUGAGAGGAUGAUCAGCCACACUAGAACUGAGACACGGUCCAGACUCCUACGGGAGGCAGCAGUGGGGAAUAUUGGACAAUGGGCGCAAGCCUGAUCCAGCCAUACCGCGUGGGUGAAGAAGGCCUUCGGGUUGUAAAGCCCUUUUGUUGGGAAAGAAAAGCAGCAGGUUAAUACCCCGCUGUUCUGACGGUACCCAAAGAAUAAGCACCGGCUAACUUCGUG
rnacentral:rRNA from 1 species